UGUGAGCCCACUGUUUAGUUUAAGUCGGUGUAGGUUUCGUUGUCCCUUCUGAUUUGCUCUGCGUUCCACUAACCGGAGAGGAUCUCCGGCCGUUCGUCCGGCGGCGGCGCUGUCGAGAUACGUUCGUAAACCCUUGCCCUUGGUUUGUAAUUGAAUAUUUUUCUCGGCCACUGUGGUAACGUGGACUAUCGAGAGGUGUCCUUGACUGGAGUCGUAGAAGUUCUGCAAUUCUUCGGUGUGCUGUAGAGCUGGAAAUAUGCCCUAACGAUCGAUUGCUUGAACUGAUGACAGGCGCCAAUAAGCAUUUAGGGAAAAUAGGUACCUAGACAAAAGGGAAAGGCAAGGGAUGGAUUGGUCGGUUACCUAUAGCGAUGGCCUCUUCUCCGUCAAUCGAUGAACAACUAUAGCAGAUAGUUGGGUUAUUAGACAGAUAGUGAUUAUAAUGCUUGAGGGCAUAGGGCAAUUACAAUCUGCCCUAGCACUGCAACCACAAUGAAUUCCCUGAAUCCAUCUGUGCAGAAGCUUGUUGGGAGUGGAGCUGGAUGACUCUUACGUAUAGCAAGAACCACGCGCCGCCGGCAUAUUCACACGCGCGGUCCUUGAGUCGCGAUGGGGGGGAAAGGAAACGAAGGCGUCUUAGGGUGGAUCUACCGUGAUUAUUUGAAAAUUAAUGAGGUAAUUGACCCGGUAACCACGCUCCGCCGCAGUAUUCACACGCGCGGAGAGACGCGGUGGGGGAAAGGGAAAUGAAGGCGUCUUAGAGUGGGUGGUACAACCAUUAGGAUGUCUCACCAGGACCUCGCAACCAAUCAUCCCAUGGCAAGACCAUAAUUACGCCCAACAUCUGUCAGUGUAAGAAACAAGGAGCCCUCUGGGUUUCAAGGCAACCUUGUCAACAAUCUUCGAGUGCAACUUGUGGGCUAGUUAUGACACUAGUAUUCUGGUAAUCAUUCUAUACUUUUUUGUACACUUUCAAGGGUUAAUGUUAUUCUACAAUAAUCCAGGACUAAUAACCCUACCCUGCAAACAGCUCCUUUAGUGAUCUGAGGAUUACAAAAUUACAUCAAAUUGAUUACCAUACCAAGGGGCUUCUUUAUCAAAGCUGUCAUUUGUGUUCCAGUCUCUAUGCCACAGUAACCUAUACUGUAUAUUAUGUAGAAUCCUUUAUCUGCUGAUUUUAGUAGGGCUGUGCUUCAGGUUGUUGAAUAUAGUUCUUCAUGUGGCACUUGAAACAGCAUUUUCGUAUCAAAGCUGAUCUUCUCUCAAGCGGUGCAGGAAGAUACGAAAAUGUUUUUUCAAGUGCGCGUAAAUAAUAUCCUUAAUGAAUUUGUGUUGCGACUCUCUAUGCUACCUUGUUAAUCGUAUAGCUAUAUGUGUUUUCUGGCUCUCUAUGCUACCUUGUUAAUCGUAUAGCUAUAUGUGUUUUCUGGAUUACGUAUUAUCUUUACUUGAGCCUUGCUUGAAUGCCAAGAGGUUAUAUCAUUUUAUAGAUUUAGAAGCUGUUGUGCUGCCUUUAUAGACAUUUUGUUUUCAUUGAAAUAAUCCAUUCCUGAUUUCUUUGUUAUAUUAACUGGAUUGAAUAUGCGAUUAUUGAGUUAUACCUUGGAUGUUGAUUGGGGGUAGAAUCACAACAUGUUAUAUGUGCUUGGUUAGGUGUUUUUGGGUUGACGAUGGUUGAAGUAUGUAUAUUGGUUUGUUCAAUUCUGGUUGUAUGUCGUAAUUUGUU